CGGGACGGGUGAGUAACGCGUGGGUAACCUGCCUCGUACUGGGGGACAACAGUUAGAAAUGACUGCUAAUACCGCAUAAGCGCACAGUAUCGCAUGAUACAGUGUGAAAAACUCCGGUGGUACAAGAUGGACCCGCGUCUGAUUAGCUAGUUGGUAAGGUAACGGCUUACCAAGGCGACGAUCAGUAGCCGACCUGAGAGGGUGACCGGCCACAUUGGGACUGAGACACGGCCCAA
rnacentral:rRNA from 1 species